GGAUCUUGAAGUUGUAUUUUUAACUGCUACUGCUCAAAAUACUGAAAAUGGGUCACUUAAAUCUACCAUCAUCGAAGCGAAAUGUUCGACAAUGGCGACUUCUUGAUUUGGUUUCAGCAGCUUUCUUUGCAGCAGUCUUGAUUUUCUUCCUUCUUCUCUGUACUCCUUUGGGUGAUUCUUUGGCUGCUUCAGGCCGCCAGACUCUUCUCCGUUCUGCCUCUGGGGAUCCGCGCCAGCGUAGUCGCCUAAUUGCUCAGGUGGAAUCAGGGAGACACAACACAGCCAUUGAUGCAUGCUCAGCGGACUAUGUGGAUUAUAUGCCUUGUGAAGAUCCGAGAAUCAAUAGCCAAUUGAGUAGAGAGAUGAAUUUUUAUAGGGAAAGACAUUGUCCAUUGCCUAAAGAUACACCUCUUUGUUUGAUUCCACCGACACAAGGUUACCGCGUUCCUGUUCAGUGGCCUGAGAGUUUGCACAAGAUUUGGCAUGAGAAUAUGCCAUAUAAUAAAAUAGCUGACAGGAAAGGACACCAAGGAUGGAUGAAAAAGGAAGGGCCAUAUUUUAUCUUUCCUGGUGGUGGAACUAUGUUUCCUGACGGAGCUGAGCAGUAUAUCGAGAAACUUAAACAGUAUAUUCCGAUAGCUGGUGGUGUUUUGAGGACCGCCCUUGAUAUGGGAUGUGGGGUGGCUAGUUUUGGUGGCUAUCUACUUUCUGAAGAGAUUUUGACACUCUCUUUUGCUCCAAGAGAUUCACAUAAAUCACAAAUACAGUUUGCCUUGGAACGAGGAAUACCUGCAUUUGUUGCCAUGCUUGGGACACGCAGGCUUCCGUUUCCUGCCUUCUCGUUUGAUUUGGUUCAUUGUUCACGGUGUUUGAUUCCUUUUACUGCGUAUAAUGCUUCAUACUUCAUUGAAGUUGACCGGUUACUCCGUCCUGGAGGCCACCUUGUCAUUUCUGGUCCUCCCGUUCAGUGGCCCAAGCAAGAUAAGGAGUGGGCGGAUCUCCAAACAGUGGCCAGAUCGUUGUGCUAUGAGCUGAUUGUUGUAGAUGGAAACACUGCCAUUUGGAAAAAGCCUCAAGGGGAUUCAUGUGUUCCUAUUCAAAAUGAAUUUGGGCUUGAGCUGUGUGAUGAAUCAGUAGAUCCAAGUGCUGCAUGGUACUUCAAGUUGAAAAAAUGUGUGACUAGGACUUCAUCUUCCAAAGGAGAAUUUGCCAUUGGGAAAAUUCCAAAAUGGCCAGCGAGGCUGAUGAAAGCUCCUUCGAGGGCAAUUGUAACUAAAAAUGGAGUGGAUGUGUUUGAAGCUGACUCAAGAAGAUGGGCGCGGAGAGUCGCACAUUAUAAGAGUUCAUUGAACUUGAAACUAGGAACUUCAUCAGUUCGUAAUGUCAUGGACAUGAAUGCAUUU
rnacentral:misc_RNA from 1 species